CACGUGGGUAACCUGCCCAAGAGACCGGGAUAACACCUGGAAACAGAUGCUAAUACCGGAUAACAACAGAUGAUGCCUAUCAACUGUUUAAAAGAUGGUUCUGCUAUCACUCUUGGAUGGACCUGCGGUGCAUUAGCUAGUUGGUAGGGUAACGGCCUACCAAGGCGAUGAUGCAUAGCCGAGUUGAGAGACUGAUCGGCCACAUUGGGACUGAGACACGGCCCAAACUCCUACGGGAGGCAGCAGAA
rnacentral:rRNA from 1 species